AGCGAACGCUGGCGGCAGGCUUAACACAUGCAAGUCGAACGGGCGUAGCAAUACGUCGAGUGGCAGACGGGUGAGUAACGCGUGGGAACGUACCUUUUGGUUCGGAACGACCCAGGGAAACUUGGGGCUAAAUACCGGAUAAAGCCCUUACGGGGAAAGAUUUAUCGCCGAAAGAUCGGCCCGCGUCGUGAUUAGCUAGUUGGUGUGGUAACGGCGCACCAAGGCGACGAUCAGUAGCUGGUCUGAGAGGAUGAUCAGCCACAUUGGGACUGAGACGCGGCCCAAACUCCUACGGGAGGCAGC
rnacentral:rRNA from 1 species